rnacentral:rRNA from 1 species
AUUGAACGCUGUCGGCAUGCCUAACACAUGCAAGUCGAACGAGUGGCGGACGGGUUAGUAAUGUCUGGGAACCUGCCUGAUGGAGGUGGAUAACUACUGGAAACGGUAGCUAAUACCGCAUACCAUCAGAUGUGCCCAGAUGGGAUUAGCUUGUUGGUGGGGUAACGGCUCACCAAGGCGACUAUCCCUAGCUGGGCUGAUAGGAUGACCAUCCACACUGGAACUGAGACACGGUCCAGACUCAUACGGGAGGCAGAAGUGGGGAAUAGUGAACAAUGGGCGAAAGCAUGAUGCAGCCAUGCCGCGUGUAUGAAGGAGGCCUUCGGGUUGUAAAGUACUUUCAGCGGGGAGGCGUUACCCGCAGAAGAAGCACCGGCUAACUCCGUGCCAGCAGCCGCGGUAAUAC